UUCGCCACGCCCGCUCAAGAAACUUAAAGGAAUUAGACGGACCCGCACAAGCGGUGGAUCAUGUGUUUAAUUCGAUGAUACGCGAAGAACCUUACCAGGUCUUGACAUCCCCCGCGAUGCUUUAGAGAUAAAGCGGAGGUAUUCGGGGAGACAGGUGGUGCAUGGUUGUCGUCAGCUCGUGUCGUGAGAUGUUGGGUUAAGUCCCGCAACGAGCGCAACCCCUAUUGCUAGUUACCAUCAUUAAGUUGGGGACUCUAGCGAGACUGCCAGUGAUAAACUGGAGGAAGGUGGGGAUGACGUCAAAUCAUCAUGCCCCUUAUGACCUGGGCUACAAACGUGAUACAAUGGCUGGAACAAAGGGAUGCGAAGCAGUGAUGUGGAGCGAAACCCAUAAAAACAGUCUCAGUUCGGAUUGAAGUCUGCAACUCGACUUCAUGAAGUCGGAAUCGCUAGUAAUCGCGGAUCAGAACGCCGCGGUGAAUACGUUCUCGGGGUUU
rnacentral:rRNA from 1 species